GGGGAAGCUGAGAUCUCAUGUGCUGCAGCUUGCUGUGAAUGGGGAACUGGCUGCUAGAAGGGGGUGGCACUGUGAAUGGGGAACAAGUAUGCCCAAGGAGUAGAAGGCUUUGGCCUAGAUAUCACCCUCAGAAGACUUCCUCAGACUGUCUUAGGGAUGCUCGCUUGGCAGCCCCCAAAGAAGGAACUGGGUGGAAUGAAUGAACGGUGCACCUCUCUAUCUGAAGCCUAGCAGGGGAGAUUAUCUGUGGACGACUUGAGAAUACAGAAAUAUCUGCUGUCGGCUUCUAACCUCGGAGCGCCUCAGAUUCCAGAAGCUAGGAGGAAACCUGCAGAGAAUAUGUUUUAUACCAUUUGGAAGCUGAGAACACAAGCUGUCAGACGUCACCCAUCCUUAGUUUCAGAUGUCGAGCGCAGCCAUUAAAAUCAGACUGGAGUUGGAACAUGCAGCAGAAUGCAAGAUGGUAAUCAGAAUGAUGUGAUUUCAAGGUCCAACAUGGCAUAAACCAGUGGGGUUAGAAAAAGCAAGUGGAUUAGUUUCUAGCUGUAGAAGAUACUGUAUCUGAGAAGAGUCAUUAAUCUAGGCAAAACUUGUGGCCAUUUACCAGACAAGCCAAGAGACCUUAAGAUUCCCAAGCCCCCAACUGCUGCCACCUGCAUUAAUACUCUGGAGUAAUGAUCAAUCCAAAGCUCCUUGGAAUCAAUAGAAAGCUGCUUACUGAUUUCAAUGGCCUUUGCAUGAUCUCUUUUGUGCCCAGACAGAAGGAAUCUGAAGGCAGCCAUGCAGGUCUCGGCCACAGCAAAGAAGGAGCCAAGUCAGAUGCUGACAAAGCGACGGACAAAAAGAAAUGGCAAGGAAUGAAGUGUUUUUUCUGAACAUCUCAAUGGACUGGAAGCAAUGGAGGGGGAAAAGCAAACGGAAACAGAUGGGGGGGGGGAAGCGCUCAUCACUGUCCCCUUCCAUCACCAUCUGGCUCCGCAAAGGAAGUGAGGCUCAUGAAAUCUCUUGCCAAACGUGCGCAGGGCUAGAGUCUCAUCCCCCCCAGUGCUGGGAGGCCAAAGCUGGGGAAAGGUCAGGACUCAUGUGAUCUGUUCAGACACUUCCAGGGCCUCCAGCAGCUCACACGUAGUAAUGAACUCACCCUCAUCAUACCUCUGUGAAUUACUGUGCCCCCAUUUUAUAGAGGAGAACUGAGGCCCAGAGAGUUCACGGGACUUGCUACACUUCACGCUCUGGCUAUGAGACACAUAGCUGAGGCCACUGGGCCAGAGCUGGCUGUCAGGAACCCCAGGGUGAAGCCUGCAGUGGUGCUGGGGUACCUGGGAAUGGGAUCUGGCCUGGUUCAGCUCUUCCUCAGUUCUCCCAGCCGGGGCUGGUGUGACGUUGCACCCCAUAAUGCUUUACGGAAAUAUGCUUAUGCAUGUAUAUAUGACAUAACUGGAAUAUGUUUUAUGCUACAUAUGCCAUAUAACAUAUCUCUGUAAAGGUUAUGAUCUACUGAGUAUAUUCAUCCUAUUUGUAUGCAUGUAUCAUUUUUGUAUUCAAAGUUAUGAAUAUUGGCUGUGUACUUGUUUGAUUUUAAGUAGCCUUAGUAAGGCAUUUGGUCAGAUUCUCAAGAAAGGAAUUUGCAAAUUAAGUGCCCAAUCAAGAAACACUUAACAGACAAUGGAACCUUGGAAGACUCCAAUUCACAUAAGAAGUCUACCUGGGGACAUUCAAGUUAGCAUGUGAACAAUGGUUGCCACCUGUAAAGUUCUGAGUCAUGCAUGGACAUGUGACUUGCCCAUGUGACUCCAAAACUCCAGCUUGCAGCUGGAUUCUGCAUAGGAGAGAGGAGGGGGUGUCUUCCCACAAGAGAAAGUCUAUUUAAGCCCUUGGGAGACUCCUCCAUUUUGUCUUCAGCUGGCUCAAGAGGUAGCCUCUCCACCCCUAAAGGAUAGCUGAAAGAAACUGGAACAAAGGACAGUAACCACAGGGGUGUGAGUGAUUGGUGGACCCAGAAUAGAAGGAGACUAGUCUGUAAAAGAAGCUUACUGGAAUAUCUCUGAGGAUGAGAUUUCAUCUGUAAUCAUUUUCUUACUGUACUAGGCUUAGACUUGCAUGUUUUGUUUUAUUUUGCUUGGUAAUUCACUUUGUUCUGUCUGUUAUUACUCGGAACCACUUAAAUCCUACUUUUUGCAUUUAAUAAAAUCACUUUUUACUUAUUAAUU